CACUAAUUUUCCCCAUAUCCUCUUCAGAGUGAUAAGUAUGCCCAGGUAACAAAAAAUUCAUGAUCCUGAGACAUUUGAAAAGGCAAGAAAGCUUUUAAAAGAGGAAUAUGACAAGUGGUGCCACUAUGAGUGCUUGCCAUCUAAUGUGCAAACAGAGGUAGAUCUGAGUUUAGUUACCAGCACAAGGUUGUUUUGUAGAUAUUGUGAAGAGGAGUAAUUGUUGGAACAGUAGACCACACACUGUUGUUUUUGUUCUAGUUUAUGUUUCUAGUUAACUUUUUGAAUUUGAAAAAAAGCUUAUGUUCAUGAUAUUUAGUCACAGAAACUUUUUAGUCACAAUCUAACAACAGCAGUUGACUAUCUUUUGAAAAAAUGAAAAGUCUACAUAGUAAGUAUAUAUCUAAAUAAGUUUUUCUCUGUAAAAAUAUAAUUAUAUGCAAAAAUAUAAAUACCUGCUUUAUAUUAACAAAUCAGUCUAAAAAUAUGAUGAAUGAUUCCAGGUAAUAUCCGUUUUAUAUUCGUAAUAUACCGGUGGGUGAGCAUGGGUCUCCUCCCUUCAACAUUUCAGAAUAUUAAUUUGGUGGUGUUUAACCUGGCAGACAGUACCCGGAUGUAAGUGUUUAUGUUUUAAAUGGGUCACAUUACGUACCAAAUAUGACCAGCUAUAAAACAAAUUCGAAAAAGUUUUUUUCAAGUCAAAGUGUAUUAAAUAGUAAUCAAAUAAUUGCCUUUAUUGGGCGAGCAUAGGUCAAUUUUAAUGAUAAGUUUAAGAUGUAAAUGGUUUCAAUCAAAUAUUUUGCUUCAUUUCUUCUAUUGUUUGGUAUUUUUAGAAAUGAUCGACAGUUUAGGUGGGCCCGUACGUGUAAAUAACUUCCUGGCUGCAUUGAACUUGAAGCCGAUUAGUAACAAAAACCUAAAGACCACGGAGAGACGGGCAGGAAACAUUGUUGAACAUGUGGCCGACAUGUCAACUCGUGAGGCAGCCAAGGAUGCCUUCCAUCGAGAAAUGAAGGAAGUGGAUGAAGCGGAGUCCAAGAGAGCUGCCGACAGGAUGGAAGGCCUUAUCGAAGAUCUUGGUGUAUGUCCACUUCCAGAUGUCUCCCCUUAACUAAAACUGAUGUUACAACCUGACAACCAGGUAGAUGAUGAUUGGACUGAUAUAGAUGAGGAGAAUGAUAAAACUGAUGAUGUGAGACGCUCCUCCGCUUUGAAAAGGAGACGUAAUCAAGUUAGAAAACAUAAAAAAAACACAACCAAUGCUGUCUCGGGCACAGAAAACACCAUCAAGUCGAGUGUGUCUGGCACCGAAGUUCCCUUGUCACUCUAGAACAGGACUGUCUUGUGCGGUAGAUACUGCCUGGCACAAACGUGGCUUUGUCAGCUUGACUUCUCACACCUUCUUCAUGAGCAAGGCAAAGUAUGGAACGAAAGUAGGGAAAGCAGUCGUUAGUCAUCGGACAUGCGGAGUAUGUAAAUGGUGGAAAAGGAAUAGACCUUCAGAGACAGUAUGAAAUCAUCGUUGUGUUCAUGAUCACACAGGAAGUGCCAGGCUUAUGGAAAGUGUAUCGGGUGAGCGGGGUGUAUGUGAGCUACACAAGGACGGAACCCCUGUGGAAGUGAUCGAAGGCUAUGGAGAUAACACCAUGAUAGCUCGUCUGAAAUCCAAAUCAAACAUUAGCUUAUAGUGAAAAACAUUGGAAAGAAGCUAUAUGCUCUUCAGGCGGACAAAAGCAAAAAGCUCAGCAAGUUAGUGAUCCUACACAUUCAGAAAUGUGUGAAGUAUAUUCUAGCAAAGAAUCAAGGUGAUCCAAAGGGACUAGAAGAAAAUCUGAAAGCUUUAGUACCUCAUCAAUCCGCAGACCACACAAUGUGCCAGCCUCGAUGGUGUGGGUACAAGCGUGACCGCAGUGUUAAAUACUCACACAGAAGCAUGCCCUACAAAGGACCGCUGAAGGACGACCACCUUAGAUCUUAGCAGGAAAAACUGUUUGAACCAGUUGUUAUGAAGGCUCCCCAGCCCGCAGACCUCAGUUCGAGUCAACAGUGCGAGCACGCCAACAGAGAGGUCACCAUGAGGGCUCCAAAGUCCCUUCAUUAUGGAAAUUCAGAAUCUUUGGAUUUUAGAGUGAAGGCCACAGCAGCAUUCAUCAAUGAAGGGCGUCACUACAUUUCAAAGCUGUUCCACUUCAGCACUGUUAUUAUUCAAGGAACAAGAUAUUGACAGGUGAUGAUCAUAAGGUACACUCCGAGGCAGGUCUUUCCCCUGGUGUCCACAGCCUCAGAUAUGCAGAUAAAUGCCAGAAGCAUAGGAAGCGUGCCCAGGAAAGAUCGGCACUGCCAUCGACUAAGCGGCGGCGACUACAACUAAAACAAGAGCGGUCAAUAACACAAGGUGCUCAAGAAGCUCUUGAAGGCAUGUCCUAUCAGUCAGAGAUCGUGCAUUCAGAUGAUGCUGACAUCCAAAACCUGCCAGAUCCAGUCCCUCGUGGUGACUUCAAACCUAUAGUGCUGCCAACAGGACAGCCUACAUACAUUGCUUUUGACCUGGAGACAACUGGCCUUAUACACGAUGGCCAGAUCCCACAUAUUACCCAGGUUGCUGCCACAGAACCUAAAAGUGGGAAAGCUUUCAAUAUGUAUGUUCUACCUACAUUGCCCAUAUCCGACAAGGCAUAAGAAGUGACCGGCCUAAGAAUUAUGGAUCACAAGAUGCAGUACAAUGGAACUAAUGUAGAGGCUUAUUCCAUAUAAUUAUGAAGCCUUGAAAUCAUAUUGUGAUUGGUUAGAAAAAUUUCAAAAUGUUGAAUUGGUUGCGCAUAAUGGCAGAAGAUUUGACUUUCCUGUUUUGUUGACGGCAUGUGACAAUGUAGGAUUGAGGG